AGAUCCUCCCCUCCCCCGCCUCUCCAUCCUGCAUGCCCCUCCCCAACAGACAGUCCCCUCUGUCUCCCCCCCUUAGGGCUCCUGUUGGCGCUUUCGGUGGUUGGGGGUGUGGUGGCAGCCUUGGUGGUGCUAGGUGUUGUAUUGUGGGGCCUCAGCAGUUGUCACCGGAAGGAUUCAGAAAAUUCUUUGUACAGCAAUGUCCUCCACCGGCCCCGGGAGACGCCACACCGUCCCAAGGUCCCGCCUAAAGAGAAGGCGCCGGACCCGAGAACCCAGAUCGUCUAUUCCACCACCUUCCCCCAACCUGACCUAGGUCAACAAUUUCUGGUCCCCAAACCCAGCCCCAGGCCCAGGUCUGGCCACCCUGUCUCUGCUCACUGAGCAUCUGUGAACCCUAGGGGGUAGAGACAGGCCACAUGCCAAGAGGGUUCCUUGAAGUCAAAAGAGGCAUUGGAGACUCUGGGAACCCACAGUGGACAAGGAUUGUCACUGUUUCUAUAAGGGGAGGGGACUUCCAACAGCCCAGGCUAAGAUUAAUCAUGGGACUCAAGGACUCUCAAUAAAGGCUGUUUUAAAUACA